rnacentral:rRNA from 1 species
GAUGAACGCUGGCGGCGUGCCUAAUACAUGCCAGUCGAGCGAACGGACGAGAAGCUUGCUUCUCUGAUGUUAGCGGCGGACGGGUGAGUAACACGUGGAUAACCUACCUAUAAGACUGGGAUAACUUCGGGAAACCGGAGCUAAUACCGGAUAAUAUUUUGAACCGCAUGGUUCAAAAGUGAAAGACGGUCUUGCUGUCACUUAUAGAUGGAUCCGCGUUGCAUUAGCUAGUUGGUAAGGUAACGGCUUACCAAGGCAACGAUGCAUAGCCGACCUGAGAGGGUGAUCGGCCACACUGGAACUGAGACACGGUCCAGACUCCUACGGGAGGCAGCAGUAGGGAAUCUUCCGCAAUGGGCGAAAGCCUGACGGAGCAACGCCGCGUGAGUGAUGAAGGUCUUCGGAUCGUAAAACUCUGUUAUUAGGGAAGAACAUAUGUGUAAGUAACUGUGCACAUCUUGACGGUACCUAAUCAGAAAGCCACGGCUAACUACGUG